GAUGAACGCUAGCUACAGGCUUAACACAUGCAAGUCGAGGGGAAACGACAUCGAAAGCUUGCUUUUGAUGGGCGUCGACCGGCGCACGGGUGAGUAACGCGUAUCCAACCUGCCCAUCACUUGGGAAUAACCUUGCGAAAGUAAGACUAAUACCCAAUGACAUCCCACGAAGACAUCUGAAUGGGAUUAAAGAUUUAUCGGUGAUGGAUGGGGAUGCGUCUGAUUAGCUUGUUGGCGGGGUAACGGCCCACCAAGGCAACGAUCAGUAGGGGUUCUGAGAGGAAGGUCCCCCACAUUGGAACUGAGACACGGUCCAAACUCCUACGGGAGGCAGCAGUGAGGAAUAUUGGUCAAUGGGCGAGAGCCUGAACCAGCCAAGUAGCGUGCAGGAUGACGGCCCUAUGGGUGGUAAACUGCUUUUAUAAGGGAAUAAAGUGGGUCUCGUGAGACUUUUUGCAUGUACCUUAUGAAUAAGGACCGGCUAAUUCCGUG
rnacentral:rRNA from 1 species